rnacentral:lncRNA from 1 species
AGGCCCCUUCUUGAUCAUCGCUGGUACGGAUGAGAGCGGCAGUGGGCAUUUGGAAAGCACCUGGGGCCGCGCCCGGGCGCAGUGCCCCCAUGUGGCCUCCCACCCCGGGCGGGCAGGACGAUUCCUGCCCAUCUGGAAGACCAGGAACCUGCGCGUUCACAGGGUUCGGAAGCCCGGGCUGCGCCUUCCCGCGGGGCCGGCUGCCGGGCUGGGGGCUCUUCCCGCCUCUGCAUGCACAGAGCCCGCGGUGCACGAACCUGCUCCCCGCCAGCCCCGCGGACUGGCAGGGCCGCUCUGGAGUCACCCGCGCCCGCUCCGCAGUGCGCAAACUCACUUCGCAGCGGGCUCUCCCGGGGCCAGCCCUUCCCUCCUGGGCGGGCAUUUUCACCUCCAGGUACAAGGGGGUGGUCCCCAGAGGAGGACUCAGGGGCUUAAGGAGAAGCUGAGGCCCGGUCCUCUGGCCUCAACGACUGCACAUUCUCGCCGCCUGCUUCACUUCUUAGAGCCUUGGAGGGCUCCAUAUGGAUUUGUGUGCCCAAGAGGCCGGAUCCCUUGGGCCAGGUGCCCUGGAGCAUGGAGUGGUGACAGUCACAGGAGAUAGAACCUUCUAGUAAAAAUGAGAAAAUCCGGCCGGGCGCGGCGGCUCACGCCUGUAAUCCCAGCACUUUGGGAGGCUGAGGCGAGUGGAUCACCUGAGGUCGGGAUCACCUGAGGCUGAGGCUGAGGCAAGGAGAAUCGCUGGAACCCAGGAAAGAGGUUGCAGUGAGCCGAGAUCGCACCAUUGCACUCCAGCCUGGGCAACAAGAGCAAAACUCCGUCUCAAAAAAAUAAAAAAGAUGUUCAGAGAAACAGUUCCAUUUACUAAGUCACUGCUGGUGGCCAAAGCCUAGUUAAUGUUCUGAAAAUCUCCAUCGUGUUUGUUCCUCUUCUGUGAUUCUUAUUUUCUCUUCUAUUUUCACCUGCCAUAUUUUUUCCUGAGGCUGACAACUGUUUGGUAGGAUAUAAGAGGAUUUAAAACUUAGUAAAGCAAAUUACUUGCCUUUGUUAAAUUCUCUUCCUUGCUGGCGUUAUAUGGUUUCAGAAUUUUAGCUAUGACUGCAGGCAGGGGUGGAUUGCAAAAAUUGCUGAAUGGGG